GACACAGGUGGUGCAUGGCUGUUGUCAGCUCGUGUCGUGAGAUGUUGGGGUAAGUCCCGCAACGAGCGCCACCCUUGUUCUUAGUUGCCAGCACGUAAUGGUGGGCACUAUAAGGAGACUGCCGGUGAAAAACCGGAGGAAGGUGGGGAUGACGUCAAGUCAUCAUGGCCCUUAUGGCCAGGGCUUCACACGUGCUACAAUGGUCGGUACAAAGGGUUGCCAAGCCGCGAGGGGGAGCUAAUCCCAAAAAACCGGUCUCAGUUCGGAUUGGCGUUGCAACUUGACUCCAUGAAGU
rnacentral:rRNA from 1 species